GAGGACCUGCCCUGUUUGUGAUAGGUGAAAAAGUUGAUCCGGCAAAUUAGAUCUUUUGGGAGCCUGCGUAAGGAGUCGGUGUGCAUGCCCUGCACUUUUUUGAAAGUGCGGGGAAGCCUGAAGCCUCCUUCAGGGCACCCACCUAUUUUAUAGGCGGAUCUAAUUCUCUCCUUACACGGCAGGGCGGGUUUAAG
rnacentral:other from 1 species